rnacentral:rRNA from 1 species
GAGAACAACUCUCUCAGCACGGAUCGAUCUUGGUCUGGCAAGCGAUGCAAGAGCGCAGCGAUGGAUAAGUAAUGGAUUGCAGAAUUCCGGAAUCAUCGA